rnacentral:rRNA from 1 species
UACAGAGGGUGCAAGCGUUGUCCGGAAUCACUGGGCGUAAAGGGCGCGUAGGCGGCCUGAUAAGUCGGGGGUGAAAUUCUGCGGCUUAACCGCAGGACGGCCUUCGAGACUGUCGGGCUUGAGCACGGUAGAGGCAGGUGGAAUUCCCGGUGUAGCGGUGGAAUGCGUAGAGAUCGGGAAGAACACCUAUGGCGAAGGCAGCUCUCUGGGACGGUACUGACGCUGAGACGCGAAAGCGUGGGGAGCGAACAGG